UACGUAGGGUCCGAGCGUUGUCCGGAGUUACUGGGCGUAAAGAGCGCGCAGGCGGUCGAUCAAGUCGAGUGUGAAAGCCCCCGGCUCAACUGGGGAGGGUCAUUCGAUACUGAUCGACUCGAAGGCAGGAGAGGGUAGUGGAAUUCCCGGUGUAGUGGUGAAAUGCGUAGAUAUCGGGAGGAACACCAGUGGCGAAGGCGAACUACCUGGCCUGUUCUUGACGCUGAGGCGCGAAAGCUAGGGGAGCAACGGG
rnacentral:rRNA from 1 species